rnacentral:rRNA from 1 species
ACGGGUGAGGAAUACAUCGGAAUCUACCUUUUCGUGGGGGAUAACGUAGGGAAACUUACGCUAAUACCGCAUACGACCUUCGGGUGAAAGCAGGGGACCUUCGGGCCUUGCGCGGAUAGAUGAGCCGAUGUCGGAUUAGCUAGUUGGCGGGGUAAAGGCCCACCAAGGCGACGAUCCGUAGCUGGUCUGAGAGGAUGAUCAGCCACACUGGAACUGAGACACGGUCCAGACUCCUACGGGAGGCAGCAGUGGGGAAUAUUGGACAAUGGGCGCAAGCCUGAUCCAGCCAUACCGCGUGGGUGAAGAAGGCCUUCGGGUUGUAAAGCCCUUUUGUUGGGAAAGAAAAGCAAUCGAUUAAUACUCGGUUGUUCUGACGGUACCCAAAGAAUAAGCACCGGCUAACUUCGUGCCAGCAGCCGCGGUAAUACGAAGGGUGCAAGCGUUACUCGGAAUUACUGGGCGUAAAGCGUGCGUAGGUGGUUGUUUAAGUCUGUUGUGAAAGCCCUGGGCUCAACCUGGGAAUUGCAGUGGAUACUGGGCAACUAGAGUGUGGUAGAGGGUAGUGGAAUUCCCGGUGU